UUACGACUAUAUCACGUUGAAACGUUGGUUUUCGUACGAUCAUGGAAGUUAAGAAACGUCGAGCCUGGCCAGUACCUAGAUGAGUGACCGUUUGGCAAUACCAGGUGCUGUAAG